UACGAGUGCCCCAAGCGUUAUCCGGAAUCAUUGGGCGUAAAGGGUGUGUAGGCGGUUGUGUUAGUCUCAUGUCAAAUUCUUCGGCUUAACCGGGGUACCGCAUGGGAAACGGCACAACUAGAGGAUGCGAGGGGUCUGUAGAACUCAUGGAGUAGGGGUGAAAUCCGUUGAUAUCAUGGGGAAUACCGAAAGCGAAGGCAGCAGACUGGCGCACUCCUGACGCUGAAACACGAAAGCGUGGGGAGCAAACAGG
rnacentral:rRNA from 1 species